rnacentral:rRNA from 1 species
GAUAAACGCUGGCGGUGUACAUAAGACAUGCAAGUCGAACGGGAGAAGACAGGAAGAUUUAUCUACUUGUUGGACACCGUGGCGGACGGGUGAGUAACACGUAAGCAACCUGCCUAUAAGAGGGGAAUAACAGUGAGAAAUUACUGAUAAUGCCGCAUAAGCUGGAGGUAUCGCAUGAUACAUUCAGAAAAGAUUUAUCGCUUAUAGAUGGGCUUGCGUCUGAUUAGCUAGUUGGUGAGAUAACAGCUCACCAAGGCGACGAUCAGUAGCCGGAUUGAGAGGUUGAACGGCCGCAUUGGGACUGAGACACGGCCCAGACUCCUACGGGAGGCAGCAGUCGGGAAUAUUGCACAAUGGAGGAAACUCUGAUGCAGUGACACCGCGUAUAGGAAGAAGGUCUUAGGAUUGUAAGCUAUUGUCGUGUGAGAAGAAAAUGACCAUCAUAGGAGGAGCCCG